ACCCAGGGCCACCAAAUUAAUUUGGGGAGUUAUCCCGUAGAGGUAGCGGUGUGGACUGUAAAUCCAUUGUCAUUGC
rnacentral:tRNA from 1 species